rnacentral:rRNA from 1 species
CCUACGGGAGGCAGCAGUAGGGAAUCUUCCACAAUGGACGAAAGUCUGAUGGAGCAACGCCGCGUGAGUGAAGAAGGGUUUCGGCUCGUAAAGCUCUGUUGGUAGUGAAGAAAGAUAGAGGUAGUAACUGGCCUUUAUUUGACGGUAAUUACUUAGAAAGUCACGGCUAACUACGUGCCAGCAGCCGCGGUAAUACGUAGGUGGCAAGCGUUGUCCGGAUUUAUUGGGCGUAAAGCGAGUGCAGGCGGGUCAAUAAGACUUAUGUGGAAGCCUUCGGCGCAACCGGAGGAAUGCAUUAGAAACUG